rnacentral:rRNA from 1 species
GGUGAGUAACACGUGGGUAACCUGCCCAUAAGACUGGGAUAACUCCGGGAAACCGGGGCUAAUACCGGAUAACAUUUUGAACUGCAUGGUUCGAAAUUGAAAGGCGGCUUCGGCUGUCACUUAUGGAUGGACCCGCGUCGCAUUAGCUAGUUGGUGAGGUAACGGCUCACCAAGGCAACGAUGCGUAGCCGACCUGAGAGGGUGAUCGGCCACACUGGGACUGAGACACGGCCCAGACUCCUACGGGAGGCAGCAGUAGGGAAUCUUCCGCAAUGGACGAAAGUCUGACGGAGCAACGCCGCGUGAGUGAUGAAGGCUUUCGGGUCGUAAAACUCUGUUGUUAGGGAAGAACAAGUGCUAGUUGAAUAAGCUGGCACCUUGACGGUACCUAACCAGAAAGCCACGGCUAACUACGUGCCAGCAGCCGCGGUAAUACGUAGGUGGCAAGCGUUAUCCGGAAUUAUUGGGCGUAAAGCGCGCGCAGGUGGUUUCUUAAGUCUGAUGUGAAAGCCCACGGCUCAACCGUGGAGGGUCAUUGGAAACUGGGAGACUUGAGUGCAGAAGAGGAAAGUGGAAUUCCAUGUGUAGCGGUGAAAUGCGUAGAGAUAUGGAGGAACACCAGUGGCGAAGGCGACUUUCUGGUCUGUAACUGACACUG